GGUCUACUGAUUGUCAUCUAUUCACCUAUGUGACACUCCUCUUGUUUUAUAUACAUUGAUACCAGACUCUUUCCAGCACUCUCACAUAUAACGUGAUCAAACAUGUUCACAUUUCUCUUCACUGUUACUGUCUCACUGCUCUGUGCUGCAGGUCUUGUUGAGGGGAGUGAAGUCACUCAGACACCCACCAUACUCUGGGAACUGAAAGACAGUGAUGCUCAGAUUAACUGCAGUCACACUAAGGGAGCUACCUACAACCAGAUGUACUGGUACAGACAGCUUCCAGGAGAGGGAAUGAAGCAGGUAGUUUACACAAGUAGUUACAGCGAUCCAGAAUAUGGAGACUUCA